GCAUAGAGAGCUUGCUCUCUGAUGGCGAGUGGCGAACGGGUGAGUAAUAUAUCGGAACGUGCCCAGUAAUGGGGAAUAACUAGCCGAAAGGUUAGCUAAUACCGCAUACGACCUACGGGUGAAAGCAGGGGAUCUUAGGACCUUGCGUUAUUGGAGCGGCCGAUAUCUGAUUAGCUUGUUGGUGGGGUAAAAGCCUACCAAGGCAACGAUCAGUAGCUGGUCUGAGAGGACGAUCAGCCACACUGGAACUGAGACACGGUCCAGACUCCUACGGGAGGCAGCAGUGGGGAAUUUUGGACAAUGGGGGAAACCCUGAUCCAGCCAUCCCGCGUGAGUGAAGAAGGCCUUCGGGUUGUAAAGCUCUUUCGAAAGUGAAGAAAACUUAUUUCAUAAUAUGUUAUGAGUAUGACGGUAACUUUAGAAGAAGCACCGGCUAACUACGUGCCAGCAGCCGCGGUAAUACGUAGGGUGCGAGCGUUAAUCGGAAUUACUGGGCGUAAAGCGUGCGCAGGCGGUUUUGUAAGUCAGAUGUGAAAUCCCCGAGCUUAACUUGGGAACUGCGUUUGAAACUACAAGACUAGAGUGUGUCAGAGGGGGGUAGAAUUCCACGUGUAGCAGUGAAAUGCGUAGAGAUGUGGAGGAAUACCAAUGGCGAAGGCAGCCCCCUGGGAUAACACUGACGCUCAUGCACGAAAGCGUGGGGAGCGAACAGGAUUAGAUACCCUGGUAGUCCACGCCCUAAACGAUGUCAACUAGUUGUUGGUGGAGUAAGAUCCAUGAGUAACGUAGCUAACGCGUGAAGUUGACCGCCUGGGGAGUACGGUCGCAAGAUUAAAACUUAAAUGAAUUGACGG
rnacentral:rRNA from 1 species